GGCGAUCAGAUACCGCCCUAGUUCUGACCGUAAACGAUGCCAACUAUCAAUCCGCCAGUGGCUUUGAGUCGUUGGCGGGCGGAUGGACGGAAACGAAAGUCUUUCGGUUCCGGGGGAAGUAUGGUUGCAAAGCUGAAACUUAAAGGAAUUGACGGAAGGGCACCACCAGGAGUGGAGCUUGCGGCUUAAUUUGACUCAACACGGGAAACCUCACCCGGCCAGUACAUCAUAAGGAUUGACAGAUUGACAGCUCUUUCAUGAUUUGAUGAAUGGUGGUGCAUGGCCGUUCUUAGUUCGUGGCGUGAGUCGUCUGCUUAAUUGCGAUAACGAGCGAGACUCUGACUGCUAAAUACCUGCUGGAUUGGUUGUCCGCGCGGGUUCUUAGCUGGAUUCGAGACUGCAAGUCUCAAGAAAUGGAGCAAUAACAGGUCUGUGAUGCCCUUAGAUGUUCGGGGCCGCACGCGUGCUACAAUGAUGGUAACAGCGUGCUUGUCCUCGCCCGAGAGGGCUUGGUAAACAGUUGAGAUAUUAUUAUGGCUGGAAUUGAGUGUUGAAAUUUUCCCUCAUGAACGAGGAAUUCCAAGUAAAUGCGAGUCAUCAACUUGCAUUGAUUACGUCCCUGCCCUUUGUA
rnacentral:rRNA from 1 species